AUGAAUUGCCUGGCCUGGAAAUGUCAAGGUCUGGGGUUGGACUCGACAGUGGGCGAACUUCGAGACCUGAUUAGGUCGUUCAACGCAGUGGUGGUUUUUCUGAGUGAGACCAAAAAAACGGCAAGAGCGAUGGAAAAACUCAAGUGGAGUCUUGGAUUCAGAAACGAUGUGGCGGUGGACUGUGUGGGUAGAAGUGGAGGGUUAGCUCUAUGGUGGAGAGAUCAUCUGCAGGUUAUAGUGAGGCCGUGGAGCCAGUACUUUAUUGAUGUAGAGAUUGUGCUUGACGACAAGACGUGUAGAUUCACUUGUUUCUACGGCAAGCCACGCACAGAGCUUCGAAAGAAAUGUGGGAUGCUAUCCGAUAUCUCAAAGGCCAGGACAACCUUCCAUGGUUGUGUGCAGGUGAUUUUAAUGAAGCGAUGUUUCAAAAAGACCAACGGGGAGGGGCAACUCAAGAUCAUUUUCACAUAUGGAGGAUUUUAG
rnacentral:rRNA from 1 species